GAGUUUGAUCAUGGCUCAGGACGAACGCUGGCGGCGUGCUUAACACAUGCAAGUCGAACGGUGAAGCGCCUUCCUUUUUGGUGGGUGUGGAUGAGUGGCGAACGGGUGAGUAACACGUGAGUAACCUGCCCCCUUCUUCUGGAUAACCGCAUGAAAGUGUGGCUAAUACGGGAUAUUCUGGGUCUGUCGCAUGACGGGUCUGGGAAAGAUAUUGUUUCGGUGGGGGAUGGGCUCGCGGCCUAUCAGCUUGUUGGUGGGGUGAUGGCCUACCAAGGCGGUGACGGGUAGCCGGCCUGAGAGGGUGGACGGUCACACUGGGACUGAGACACGGCCCAGACUCCUACGGGAGGCAGCAGUGGGGAAUAUUGCACAAUGGGCGCAAGCCUGAUGCAGCGACGCCGCGUGAGGGAUGGAGGCCUUCGGGUUGUGAACCUCUUUCGCCAGUGAAGCAGGCCUGCCCCUGGUGGGUGGGUUGACGGUAGCUGGAUAAGAAGCGCCGGCUAACUACGUGCCAGCAGCCGCGGUAAUACGUAGGGCGCGAGCGUUGUCCGGAAUUAUUGGGCGUAAAGAGCUCGUAGGCGGCUGGUCGCGUCUGUCGUGAAAUCCUCUGGCUUAACUGGGAGCUUGCGGUGGGUACGGGCCGGCUUGAGUGCGGUAGGGGAGGCUGGAACUCCUGGUGUAGCGGUGGAAUGCGCAGAUAUCAGGAAGAACACCGGUGGCGAAGGCGGGUCUCUGGGCCGUUACUGACGCUGAGGAGCGAAAGCGUGGGGAGCGAACAGGAUUAGAUACCCUGGUAGUCCACGCCGUAAACGUUGGGCACUAGGUGUGGGGGGGCCUUUUCCGGGUUUUCCGCGCCGUAGCUAACGCAUUAAGUGCCCCGCCUGGGGAGUACGGCCGCAAGGCUAAAACUCAAAGGAAUUGACGGGGGCCCGCACAAGCGGCGGAGCAUGCGGAUUAAUUCGAUGCAACGCGAAGAACCUUACCAAGGCUUGACAUGUGCCGGUCGGCUCCGGAGACGGGGUUUCCUCCUUGUGGGGCCGGUUCACAGGUGGUGCAUGGUUGUCGUCAGCUCGUGUCGUGAGAUGUUGGGUUAAGUCCCGCAACGAGCGCAACCCUUGUCUCGUGUUGCCAGCACGUUGUGGUGGGGACUCGCGGGAGACUGCCGGGGUCAACUCGGAGGAAGGUGGGGAUGACGUCAAAUCAUCAUGCCCCUUAUGUCUUGGGCUUCACGCAUGCUACAAUGGCCGGUACAGAGGGCUGCGAUACUGUGAGGUGGAGCGAAUCCCUUAAAGCCGGUCUCAGUUCGGAUCGGUGUCUGCAACUCGACACCGUGAAGUUGGAGUCGCUAGUAAUCGCAGAUCAGCAACGCUGCGGUGAAUACGUUCUCGGGCCUUGUACACACCGCCCGUC
rnacentral:rRNA from 1 species